rnacentral:piRNA from 1 species
UGAUAACAUUUCUCCUGUUUUCAGAGCAG